rnacentral:lncRNA from 1 species
AGUAUGCAUACCCAGAAGUGAAAAUGAUAUGUAAAAAUAAUGUUUGGAAGCUCAAAGAUCACUGUGUAGAGCCUCUGCAAGACUGAAAAGACUCAAGAUGCAUGUCUGAAGAGGAUACACAUUGCCCACUGCCUUACUCUGUCCAUUGUAUAUACACAUGCAUAUAUUACCUAAUAACUGUUGCAAAAGAUGACAUCCCUAAAUAGCUCCUGCAUUGUUAAAGAUUAAUAAACUUUUGUUUUUCUCUUUCUGUUCUGCAGAUUGCUUCCAUAUGUGCAGCUAUUUAUGUACACUUAAUGCUAAUAUGGUGUUGAUCCAAGUCUGCGUCAGGCUUGCUUUUCAGUUGUCGUUUUGGUCAGUUCCUCUCCUUUGGAAGAAGCCUGUACCAUCAUCUUUUCAAAUUGCUGCAGAUUUUCUGUGGAUAAAAAGCUUUGAACAUAGACGUAGUGGUUUUAUAUUGUAGCUGAGUCCAGCCAAGCCAAAACGUGGAUGCCCCAGUCCUUUCCUGUGAACAUAGAAAGCUGCUUUCUUCACGUUUAUUUGAGUAAUAUAAAAGGAGGCACUGACUUUGAGAAAAUCUUCAGUUGAAUCUGUAUUUUCUUAUGUUUCCACUUUCAGGAAUUUCAGUAAUACACUUUUUUUUUUCUCCACCAUUAGCUUUAAUAUAUGACAGUUCUAGAUGAAAAGGAUAAAAGUCAAAAAUAGUUUAUAAAUCAUGAGUAGGAUGCAGGUUCUAAGUGCAGAUGUCUGGAGAUGUGAUAAAGCUACAUUUUUUCAUCUCCCCAUGGUUAGCUUCAUAAUAUUGCUAGGUAUUCUACUCUGGGUAUAUGUUUGAAGAACUGCUUCUCUCUCUGGUGGGGAGGAAAAUGGGCAGGAUUUCAUUUUCACUUUCCUACGGUAUGACUGUUUUUCUUGAACUGGUCAUUAAUACUAGAUUAUGCUAUCCUUCUUCCAUUUCUAUUUUGAGGAACAAUGGGCCAGAGAGAUGAGACUUUACUAAAGAAUAAAGCAGAGCUCACAGGAAGAAAAAAAAAAAAA